CGGUCUGGGGGGCCUUAAUGUGAGCGGCAAGGGGCUCAGGGGGUGGCCGCGCAAAGGGCUUUGGGAAGGAAGAAGGUGCGACCGAAAACGCGCCAGACCCCGGCGGGGGAAAGAAACAGGAGCCGCACGUCAAGCCGGAGGGGAGCAGAGCCCUCAGGCGGGAGCCGUAAAGCGAGCUGGCCUCGCGAUGCCGACCUCCCUGCGCUUCAGGGACCCGUACUGCCCCCUGGCGGCGGCGGGGCGAAGACCAUGCUUCCGAGGUCGGCUGAGGAUGGUCGCCGGAGCGUCGCGCAGACCCCGGCCGCGCUCGCGGGCCCCGCCUCCGCCGCCCCGCACACGCCCCCUUCCCCGCGUCCGGAGGGCCGGGAGCGCGCAACAGGAGACCCCGCGCGCGGCCUUGUGCUCAGGAUGGAGCCUGGCGGCCGGGGUCGGCGGGGUGGGCCGUCCAUCCUACGGAAACGCGCAAAGCAAGGCUGGAAAUUGUCGUCACUAGCCCGGGCUGACUUUAAAUGGUGAAUACCUGGAAUGACUGACCUCAGGUGAUGCUACGUGGAACAGAGGAAUUGCCCAGCAGAGACAAAACUGUGAGCUACCAAAAAAAAAAAAAAAAAAAAAAAAAAAAAAAAAAAGAGGUCUCCAGUCUCUGAAUUUUAGGGUAAUCUCUCUUGCUGCAACAGAGAACUAGGAGAAAGAACAUCUUUUUGCUGAUGACUCACAAGCCGCAUGAACCUCUCCUCUGAGUUCCAGAUUCACGUCUGACUGCGUACUUGACAUUUCCACGUGUACAUGUCUUACUUUGGGUUCCACCAGAACAGAUUCUGGGACGAGGAUUCAGGUACAAGUAGCCUGCUUGGGAGGUAAUCUCGGGAGACACCAGGGAUGCCACAGGGAAGUGAGGCAGGGAAAGAGGCAGGUAGUGAGGAUGUGUCCUCACACUGAGGGAAACUUAUUUCUACUGCGGGGGAACUCAGGGAAUUGUUAGAACGGGAGCCUCAGAGCCCUCCCACCCGGAGGCGAGGAACGCGGGGUAUUUACGAGCUGCUUUGAUCAGUCAUUGGUCGAGGGCUGCUCCUGCAGGGGCCGAUUCCCCACCAGCCUGCGGCAGAAGCUCAGGGAAGAAGCCGUAGGCAAAGAAAUGUGAAACCUGGGAGAGACACCAAGGGAGCACGCGGACAGCGUGGGCGAGGCGAGGGCGCGCAGGCAGGACACCCGCAGCACUUGCUAGGACGUUAACAUUUUCAAUGAAUCCAGACUUGUUUCGCAGAAUGACCCACAGACUGGUUACUGGGAGACAGGUCUCGUGGUUCUUCAUGAUUGUGCACGCGCUGUCCUUUUGUUCUGGACUGUCUUUUCAGAGAUACUUGAAUAGUGAUGUGAAAAUUAAUAAAGGAAACCUCAACUAAAAUUUGAGUUGGGAAGGCCUGUAGAGGGAACCCUCAUCCCUACGACUCCUCGUCCAAGACCCCAGACAGGAAGGGCCUGCCUUGCACCUCGGGCAGGAAGGGCCUCCACCACCCCAGCAGGAGGGAGAGCAGGUUCUUCUCGUCCAGCAACCAGCCCCGCCAUGGAGGACGCCGCAGCUCAGCCCACGAGGAGCCAUCGCCACCCUGAACUCUUACUUUCCUCCAGCAAACUUCCACUGAGAACAGCCCCCCUGACUCCCAGUUUCUCUAGAACAGCAAGCUCCCCCAGUUCUGCACUCCUGAAUUGCAAUUCCCCUGGCUCUUCCCAAAUAAACUCAUCUGGCUGGUGAGAUAACUGGCUGUCUUAUUUUUGAAGUGGACAGAGUACUCUUGGAGGCUGGAGGUGACAUAGCCCACCAGGACAGGUUUAUUGUUACCUGAUAUUACAAAGGUAACGUCUUUAAGGCAAAAGUCAGGCAUGUCUGCUUGCAGCCUGUUAUUAAAACCGCGGGCUCCCGAAGCUUGGGAUUCCUCUCCUGUAACUCAGUCCACAGUAAGUGCAGGCAUCACCUGGCUUUGCUGUAUCACCCGUGGGAACUGGGGCUUGGGAAACUGGCACAAGGAGAUAAUCAUAGUUUGACUAACGCUGCUGCUGUGAGCGAUAAAUUGUCCCUUGUCUCUGAUGCACAAGAAAUUGUGUUUUGCACAAGAUUUGUGUUUCUCCAGCCAGCAUCAUGGAACUGCCAGACUAAUUUGCUACCUUACGAGUAGGGUAAAACCUCAGAUCUUUCAUAGUUCUUGACAAUGCCUUUGGUUGUUUCCUCAUGAUUAAAUUCAGAUUAAACAAUUUUUUAGUCAACAACUCUAAGCAGAUGUCACGUACCUCCCACUGCAUCUCCUGUGAAGGCACUUGUUAUUGGUGAUGCGAAGUUUAAUCACUUAAGGCUCUCAUUACUAUCCGUGUCUGGCUUUUGUAUCAAUAUUUAACAAGUUCACUAAGCGAAGUUGGAUCUCACCAAGUGAGCUGGGGUGGCAGAAUUUUCUCUCUAUUUUUUUGGUAAAUUCUCUAGAAGACUUGGAAUAAGUUUAAAAUGAGUUGUUCUUGGAGUAUUUUGUAGACCUGAUCUGUAAAACCUCUGGACUUUUUUUUUUUUCAAA